AGUGAUUAUUUUCCCAUUUAAAACAAAAAACAAAAACCUUGCUACAGUAUUAAGUUUGAAUUAGGGUCUGAACGAAGUUGUUGUUUGCUCAGACCCCUCCUCCGCUCUUAAACCUAAACCUCCACUGCCUUCAUGUAAAUGAGACACGGGGCGGGGGGAACAGUCCUCCCCUUGGGCAGCCAGGCAACCACUUGGCUCACAAGAACAAUCAAGUAUCUCCGGCUCCAAAGUGAAUAGAGCACUAUUAUUUCCUAAAGGAAGGGAGAAAGUCCGCAUCCCAAACAAGUGCAUCCUUCCUCGAGGGCCUCCGAACUGCCACUUCCAGUCAUCUCCCAACCCUGAAAACUUAAGAGCAGUUAAGAAAAAGAAAAAGAAAGCCUGCAGGGCAGCCAAGGAUUGAAGAUCCAACAACCAGGUCUCUGCUCUGCCCUGGUGCAUUCAGUCCCAAAAGCAGGAGCGAAAGCCCACUGACUCACCUAAUAGUCAGGGCGGGGCACGUUGCUCUGGCUUACAUAGGGAUUUUGCAUCUGGCUGUCUCUGGAGGCCGCUAUCCUGACCUUAGGAAAGAUGCUCCCUUCUGCUCCAACAUUGGUGAAGCCUGUCGACUGCAGUUUUAGAUUUUGAAAGUCUUCGUCAAUCAAGUUCUCUUCUUCAAUAUCCUUCUUUUUGUUAUUUGAUCUGUAAUCAGUAAGAGGAAUUAGGAUUUGACAAUGGCAGAAAGUUUCUUGAAGUAAAUGUUAACGUUCUUUUUAAAAAUAUUUUCAAAUUCUGAAA